rnacentral:misc_RNA from 1 species
GAUGAAGAACGUAGUGAAAUGCGAUAAGUAAUGCGAAUUGCAGAAUUUCCGUGAGUCAUCGAAUCUUUGAACACACAUUGCGCCCACUGGUAUUCCGGUGGGCAUGCCUGUACGAGCGUCAUUAUCCUCCCUCAAACCCCGGGUUUGGUGUUGGACCGAAGUUGUGUGAACAACUGGUCUAAAAGACAAUGACGGCGUCCGUGGGACCCUCGGUGCAACGAGCUUUUAGGAGCACGCGCCGAGUUGCAAGGACCUUCCGGGCCGGUCUCCUUUUACUAUUUUACAAGGUUGACCUCGGAUCAGGUAGGAAUACCCGCUGAACUUAAGCAUAUCAAUAAGCGGAGGA